AUUGAACGCUGGCGGCAGGCCUAACACAUGCAAGUCGAGCGGAGCGGCGGACGGGUGAGUAAUGCCUAGGAAUCUGCCUGGUAGUGGGGGAUAACGUCCGGAAACGGGCGCUAAUACCGCAUACUAUUAGUUGAGCCUAGGUCGGAUUAGCUCGUUGGUGGGGUAAUGGCCUACCAAGGCAACGAUCCGUCACUGGUCUGAUUGGAUGAUCGGUCACACUGGAACUGAGACACGGUCCAGACCCCUACGGGAGGCAGCAGUGGGAAAUAUUGGACAAUGGGCGAAAGCCUAAUCCAGCCGUGCCGCGUGUGUGAAGAAGGUCUUCGGAUUGUAAAGCACUUUAAGUUGGGAGGCGUUACCAACAGAAUAAGCACCGGCGAACUUCGUGCCAGCCGCCGCGGUAAUAC
rnacentral:rRNA from 1 species